GGUGGGAUAGCGAAGUGGCCCAACGCGCCUGCCUUGAGAGCAGGUGUCCGAGAGGACCCCUGGGUUCAAAUCCCAGUCCCACCG
rnacentral:tRNA from 6 species